rnacentral:rRNA from 1 species
UAGGGAAUCUUCGGCAAUGGACGGAAGUCUGACCGAGCAACGCCGCGUGAGUGAAGAAGGUUUUCGGAUCGUAAAGCUCUGUUGUAAGAGAAGAACGAGUGUGAGAGUGGAAAGUUCACACUGUGACGGUAUCUUACCAGAAAGGGACGGCUAACUACGUGCCAGCAGCCGCGGUAAUACGUAGGUCCCGAGCGUUAUCCGGAUUUAUUGGGCGUAAAGCGAGCGCAGGCGGUUAGAUAAGUCUGAAGUUAAAGGCUGUGGCUUAACCAUAGUACGCUUUGGAAACUGUUUAACUUGAGUGCAAGAGGGGAGAGUGGAAUUCCAUGUGUAGCGGUGAAAUGCGUAGAUAUAUGGAGGAACACCGGUGGCGAAAGCGGCUCUCUGGCUUGUAACUGACGCUGAGGCUCGAAAGCGUGGGGAGCAAACAGGAUUAGAUACCCUGGUAGUCCACGCCGUAAACGAUGAGUGCUAGGUGUUAGACCCUUUCCGGGGUUUAGUGNCGUAGCUAACGCAUUAAGCACUCCGCCUGGGGAGUACNACCGCAAGGNUG